rnacentral:rRNA from 1 species
UAGGGAAUCUUCGGCAAUGGGGGAACCCUGACCGAGCAACGCCGCGUGAGUGAAGAAGGUUUUCGGAUCGUAAAGCUCUGUUGUUAAGGAAGAACGAGUGUGAGAAUGGAAAGUUCAUGCUGUGACGGUACUUAACCAGAAAGGGACGGCUAACUACGUGCCAGCAGCCGCGGUAAUACGUAGGUCCCGAGCGUUGUCCGGAUUUAUUGGGCGUAAAGCGAGCGCAGGCGGUCAAUUAAGUCUGAUGUGAAAGCCCCCGGCUCAACCGGGGAGGGUCAUUGGAAACUGGUUGACUUGAGUGCAGAAGAGGAGAGUGGAAUUCCAUGUGUAGCGGUGAAAUGCGUAGAUAUAUGGAGGAACACCAGUGGCGAAGGCGACUCUCUGGUCUGUAACUGACGCGGAGGCUCGAAAGCGUGGGUAGCAAACAGG